AGGGUUAAGGCUAUUUAUAGUACCCGUCUGAAAACACGGAUUUAGGGAGUUUAUCUGUAGUGCGAGUCUUUGCACGUUAACUGUAAAGGCGUAGAGAAAGCAACUGGCGUUUGCAUGGCUACUGAGCAUUACUGAUAGGACCCGAAAGGUGGUGAACUUUGCCUGCACAGGUUGAAGUCAGGGGAAACUCUGAUGGAGGACCGUACGGGUUAUUGAUGUGCAAAUCAUUUUUCUGAUGUAGGUAAAGGUGCGAAAGACUCAUCGAACCACCUAAUAGCUGGUUUCCUCCGAAGUUUCCCUCAGGAUAGCUGUAAUGCAUUUAGUUAAGGGGAGUAGAGAUAUGGGUAGAGGUGCAGGGAGCCUUCGGGUUCUCAACUUAUUUCCAAACUUCGAACCUCCUUGUUAGGCAUUUACCUAACUGGAAAUGCUUAAAUGAAUUAGCGUUACAAGUGGGCUCUGACCGGUAAGCGGUCAUGGCGAAAUGGGAUGAACCAUACGUCUGAAUAAGGUGCCGAAAUGUACUAUCACUGAUACCAUAAAGGGAGUCCAUGUAUUUAGACAGCAGGUCGGUGCCCCUAAAAGCAGGUAUCCGCUAAAGAGUGUGUUAAAACUCACCUGCCGAAUACUAGGGCCCCGAAAAUGAAUGGCGCAUAUAGUACUACCGAUCUCAGACAUCAGUUCUAUUGAACUGAGAGUAGGGGGAUGUGGACAUUUUUGUGAAGGUGCAAUGUGAGUUGGACUGGAAGAAUGUCUAUUACAGAUCCUAAUUGAAGUAGCGAUUAUCCAGGCUUGUAUCCUGGGGGCUGAUGAGGAGUAGGGUUUCUGGACAACUUAAACAGAUCCAGAGUUAGUCGAUCCUAAUCUCAAUAAUGGGAGAAAGGGAGUACAGUUGAUAUUCUGUAACUGACAACAGUUCGCGGCAACGCAUACUAUUUUUCUCCGCCAAUCUUAUACCGUUGGUAGGGAUCUCUUUCCUACAU
rnacentral:ncRNA from 2 species